rnacentral:rRNA from 1 species
CCUACGGGAGGCAGCAGUGGGGAAUUUUGGACAAUGGGCGCAAGCCUGAUCCAGCAAUGCCGCGUGAGUGAAGAAGGCCUUCGGGUUGUAAAGCUCUUUUGUCAGGGAAGAAACGGUGGGAGCUAAUAUCUCCUACUAAUGACGGUACCUGAAGAAUAAGCACCGGCUAACUACGUGCCAGCAGCCGCGGUAAUACGUAGGGUGCAAGCGUUAAUCGGAAUUACUGGGCGUAAAGCGUGCGCAGGCGGUUUUGUAAGUCUGUCGUGAAAGCCCCGGGCUCAACCUGGGAAUUGCGAUGGAGACUGCAAGGCUUGAAUCUGGCAGAGGGGGGUAGAAUUCCACGUGUAGCAGUGAAAUGCGUAGAGAUGUGGAGGAACACCGAUGGCGAAGGCAGCCCCCUGGGUCAAGAUUGACGCUCAUGCACGAAAGCGUGGGGAGCAAACAGGAUUAGAUACCCUGGUAGUCCACGCCCUAAACGAUGUCUACUAGUUGUCGGGUUUUAAUUAACUUGGUAACGCAGCUAACGCGUGAAGUAGACCGCCUGGGGGAGGUACGGUCGCGAGAAGUUAAACGUUAAACUAAGAAGUUAGACGGACGUGAGACGUGACCGACGGACGACGACGAGGGAGGUUAGG